rnacentral:rRNA from 1 species
GAUGAACGCUGGCUACAGGCUUAACACAUGCAAGUCGAGGGGAAACGACGGGGAAGCUUGCUUCCCCGGGCGUCGACCGGCGCACGGGUGAGUAACACGUAUCCAACCUGCCUCUGACUGAGGGAUAACCCGUCGAAAGUCGGCCUAAUACCUCAUGGCAUCGUCUGCGGGCAUCCAACGACGAUUAAAGAUUUCAUCGGUCAGGGAUGGGGAUGCGUCUGAUUAGCUAGUUGGCGGGGUAACGGCCCACCAAGGCGACGAUCAGUAGGGGUUCUGAGAGGAAGGUCCCCCACAUUGGAACUGAGACACGGUCCAAACUCCUACGGGAGGCAGCAGUGAGGAAUAUUGGUCAAUGGGCGAGAGCCUGAACCAGCCAAGUAGCGUGCAGGAUGACGGCCCUAUGGGUUGUAAACUGCUUUUAUGCGGGGAUAAAGUGAGGGACGUGUCCUUCAUUGCAGGUAC